rnacentral:lncRNA from 1 species
AUCAAAAGGCAAAUUUCCAACAAACACCUUGGCCUCCUCCGGAGGAUCGACAUUCGACACCUCCUCACUCUCCUCAAAGACCCCUUCUUCCUCACUUCCCUCCGCGCCGUCAAUGGUGAGCGUGCUGUCUUCCUGACCCCAGUCCGAGGUCUGGGCCACAAAGGCGGCGACGGAGGAGAAGUGGGUUUUUCUUCCGAGGGACAGCGGCAGCGAGAAGAGCGAGGAAGGGGUGUAGGAGAGGUGGAGCUUGAUGGGUUUGGAGGGAACUGAGAGAAAUGGGUUGGAGGUUUUGGCAGCGGAAAGGUAAGGGAGGGAGACGCAUGAAUCCGCCAUCGAUAAGGUCUUGAAUAGAUUGGAAGUUGCAGAAGAAGCCACAGCCAUUUUCUGUGGGAGAGGAGAGGGAGUGAAAGGGUUUUAGGAGGAGUUGCGAGAGGAUAAGGGUGGAGGGAGAGGUGCUAGAGGAGUUUGAAGGAAAGAAGGGUUAUUGGGAAGAAAGAGGAGAGAGGAGGUUUUGUUUUAUGGGCUUUGGGAUGUUGAAGCAAAAGUUGUAAAACCCAAGGCCCAAUUUGUGAUGAAAUUGUGGGUUGAAUUUAAAACUCAAUCUAUUCAAAAGAAAUAGAAACAACAUGAAUAGGGCCCCAUAAUGCUAGUCUGUGACCUUGUAAGUGAUUUCGGCUUCGUUUGAGAGUGUUUCUGUAAAAGUACUUUUACUCGUAAGCGGUUUUGGUAUUUUAGAAGUUUCACCAAAGGCCUCAAGUGACUUCCUGGUUUUCAACACCCUAAGAAGAAACACCAUUGUAUUGACAACGUAAUUCACGUCUGUUAGUGGCGGCACCAGCAACAUAAAUUAUGCAUUAUGAUGCAAUUCAA